GGGGUUAUGGCUCAGUGGUAGAGCACUUGCCUUGCACAGGCAAGGCCCUGAGUUCGAUUCUCAGCACCA
rnacentral:tRNA from 1 species